GCGCCCGUAGCUCAGCUGGAUAGAGUACUUGGCUACGAACCAGGUGGUCAGAGGUUCGAAUCCUCUCGGGCGCACCA
rnacentral:tRNA from 1 species